UUCCGUAGGUGAACCUGCGGAAGGAUCAUUAAUGAUUGCGAAUGGUUGCCUUCAGUGCUGGCUCUCCAGAGCAAGUGCACGUUGGUGGCUUUCAUCCAAUUCCACACCCUGUGAACCUUUGGCCUCUUGCUGGCUUCGGCUGGCAGAGGAUUUUACACAUACACGAAUGUACUGAAAACAAUUGUUGUGCGCAAGCACUAAUAUACAACUUUCAACAACGGAUCUCUUGGCUCUCGCAUCGAUGAAGAACGCAGCGAAAUGCGAUAAGUAAUGUGAAUUGCAGAAUUCAGUGAAUCAUCGAAUCUUUGAACGCACCUUGCACCCUUUGGAAUUCCAAAGGGUAUGCUCGUUUGAGUGUCAUUGUACUCUCACACUCUCCGAUCCUUUGGAUUUGGGGAGCGGUGGACUUGGGUGCUUGCUGCUUUCCUUGUGGCUCACCUCAAAUGUGUUAGUGCAUCUCUUGAUUGGACAUAGUACGGCGUGAUAAGUGUCUUCGCCGGCACCUCAUAAGAGGGUGGCCGAUUGGGAGCUCUGUGCUUUCAAACCGUCUUCGGACAACUUCUGACAACUUGACCUCAAAUCGAGUAGGACUACCCGCUGAACUUAAGCAUAUCAAUAAGCGGAGGAAAAGAAACUAACAAGGAUUCCCCUAGUAACGGCGAGUGAAGAGGGAAGAGCUCAAAUUUUGAAUCUGGCGUCUUUGGCGUCCGAAUUGUAAUCUAGAGAAGUGUUUUCCGUGACGGACUGUGCAUAAGUCUCCUGGAAUGGAGCGUCAUAGAGGGUGAGAAUCCCGUAUAUGGCACAGACUACCGUUGCCCUGUGAUACACUCUCGACGAGUCGAGUUGUUUGGGAAUGCAGCUCUAAAUGGGUGGUAAAUGCCAUCUAAAGCUAAAUAUUGGCGAGAGACCGAUAGCGAACAAGUACCGUGAGGGAAAGAUGAAAAGCACUUUGGAAAGAGAGUGAAACAGUACGUGAAAUUGUUGAAAGGGAAACGCUUGAAGUCAGUCGCACUGUUCGGGAUUCAGCCUUGCUUCUGCUCGGUUUACUUCCUGUUCAGUGGGUCAACAUCAGUUUCGGUCGGAGGAGAAAGGCUUGGGGAAUGUGGCAGCAUUCGUGCUGUGUUAUAGCCCCUUGUUGUAUACUUCGACUGGGACUGAGGACCGCAGCACGCCUCUGGCCGGGGUUCGCCCACGUACGUGCUUAGGAUGUUGGCAUAAUGGCUUUAAGCGACCCGUCUUG
rnacentral:rRNA from 1 species